rnacentral:rRNA from 1 species
AUUGAACGCUGGCGGCAGGCCUAACACAUGCAAGUCGAGCGGAUGAAGGGAGCUUGCUCCUGGAUUCAGCGGCGGACGGGUGAGUAAUGCCUAGGAAUCUGCCUGGUAGUGGGGGAUAACGUCCGGAAACGGGCGCUAAUACCGCAUACGUCCUGAGGGAGAAAGUGGGGGAUCUUCGGACCUCACGCUAUCAGAUGAGCCUAGGUCGGAUUAGCUAGUUGGUGGGGUAAAGGCCUACCAAGGCGACGAUCCGUAACUGGUCUGAGAGGAUGAUCAGUCACACUGUAACUGAGACACGGUCCAGACUCCUACGGGGGGCAGCAGUGGGGAAUAUUGGACAAUGGGCGAAAGCCUGAUCCAGCCAUGCCGCGUGUGUGCAGAAGGUCUUCGGAUUGUAAAGCACUUUAAGUUGGGAGGAAGGGCAGUAAGUUAAUACCUUGCUGUUUUGACGUUACCAACAGAAUAAGCACCGGCUAACUUCGUG